GUGUCAGCCGCCGCGGUAAUACGUAGGGUGCGAGCGUUAAUCGGAAUUACUGGGCGUAAAGCGUGCGCAGGCGGUUUUUUAAGCCAGAUGUGAAAGCCCCGGGCUCAACCUGGGAACUGCGUUUGGAACUGAAAGACUAGAGUGUGUCAGAGGGAGGUGGAAUUCCACGUGUAGCAGUGAAAUGCGUAGAUAUGUGGAGGAACACCGAUGGCGAAGGCAGCCUCCUGGGAUAACACUGACGCUCAUGCACGAAAGCGUGGGGAGCAAACAGGAUUAGAUACCCUGGUAGUCCACGCCCUAAACGAUGUCAACUGGUUGUUGGGGAAGCAAUUCCUUAGUGACGAAGCUAACGCGAGAAGUUGACCGCCUGGGGAGUACGGUCGCAAGAUUAAA
rnacentral:rRNA from 1 species